rnacentral:tRNA from 1 species
GCAGUGGUGGUUCAGUGGUAGAAUUCUCGCCUUGUGUGCGGGAGACCUGGGUUCGGUUCCUGGCCAGUGCA